CAGUCGCCGCGGUAAUACGGAGGGUGCAAGCGUUAUCCGGAUUUAUUGGGUUUAAAGGGUCCGUAGGCGGAUCUGUAAGUCAGUGGUGAAAUCUCACAGCUUAACUGUGAAACUGCCAUUGAUACUGCAGGUCUUGAGUAAAUUUGAAGUGGCUGGAAUAAGUAGUGUAGCGGUGAAAUGCAUAGAUAUUACUUAGAACACCAAUUGCGAAGGCAGGUCACUAAGAUUUAACUGACGCUGAUGGACGAAAGCGUGGGGAGCGAACAGGAUUAGAUACCCCUGUAGUCCCUGUCUCUUAUAU
rnacentral:rRNA from 1 species